UGAUAGAAAUUUAAACCCUUUUUAAAGUAUCAAUUGGAGGGCAAGUCUGGUGCCAGCAGCCGCGGUAAUUCCAGCUCCAAUAGCGUAUAUUAAAAUUGUUGCAGUUAAAAAGCUCGUAGUUGAAGUUCUGCUAAAAGUAACCGGUCUGCUUUUUAUAAAAGUGGUAUCUUGGUGUAUGUUUAGCAAUGAUGUCCUUUGAAGUGUUUUUUACUUUAUUGUAAUAAAACAUAUUCAGGACUUUUACUUUGAGAAAAUUAGAGUGUUUCUAGCAAGCUGACGCUUUGAAUACUGCAGCAUGGAAUAAUAAGAUAGGAUUUUAGUUCUACAUUAUUGGUUUUAAGAGCUAAAUUAAUGAUUGAUAGGGACAGUUGGGGGCAUUUGUAUUUAACUGUCAGAGGUGAAAUUCUUAGAUUUGUUAAAGACAAACUACUGCGAAAGCAUUUGCCAAAGAUGUUUUCAUUAAUCAAGAACGAAAGUUAGGGGAUCGAAG
rnacentral:rRNA from 1 species